UUUUACGACACGCAUUCGAUAAUCGUUGGAGACCUCCAGACAGACCUCACCUUAUCUUUAGAUUGCCUGGACCUGAUUUCCCAGUGUUUGGUCCGCAAUCCAGAGAAGCGACUGCAGUUACAUCAGUUAGAAGAGCACCGGUGGUUCAAUCCAACGAGCCCAAAUCCUGUGCAGCAGUGAGACAAGAGGAGAAAACACUAAAGAAGCGAAGAGGAGAACAGCAGCAUUUCCAGAAAUUUCACAAGACUGUUAAAGUUAUUAAUUACUCCCUCAUGUCAUUCCAAACCCCUCAGACCUUACUUUUCAGUGUCAGUGUGUUGAUGAGAGCUCUGUCCUGCACUGUGUGUGUGUCCACUGCUGACGUUUACC